UUAUGGUAAUUAGGUCCACCUGAUUUACGGUUAGAACACUUGGAUUGUGGAACACGGUAAAAUAAAAUGUAAAAUAAUACGUUGUAAAAAUUUUAUUUUUUUAUUUACAACUGGAAACGGAGAAAAUGAAUGGUGGAAUUGGAGUCUUUUCUCCGCGUUAAAAACGGAAGGACAAGCGGAGAUCGAAGUCAAUUACGACACUGUCAAACGCACUCUGCAAAGAAAGAGGCAACCCUUUCUACCCAAAUCUCCAACUUCCGCAGUGGACGUACUUGAAGCAUUUAAAGAUGAAAACAUCAUGAGUCGUUUUGGGAUGACCAAGGGCAGUUCUCCAAAUGUUUUUUUUUAAAAACUUUACAUGUCUGGAUCAUUUGCAUAUUGCAUAUUUUCGUCGGACAAGGUCAUUACUUUGAUGCAAGCAAAUAUUGAGGAGCAGAGUCGGCAUUUUUUAAUUGAUGCUACAUUCAAAGUAUGCCCGUUUGGAGAUUUUAAGCAACUACUUAUUAUUUACAUAAAGCAUAUGCAGAAGAACACCCCAUUCUUAUUUGUCUUAGUGACGCGCAAAACGGAGCUCUGUUAUCAGCAUUUAUUCACCUAUGAAGAUUCAAAUAUUUGUUGCUUAUCAUUUAUUUCCGACUACGAAACAGCGAUGCGGAACGCCUUAAAAAACUUGCAUCCUUCCAUGAAUUUUUAUUCUUGCUGGUUCCAUUUUACUCAAGCAUGCAAGAGAAAUGCAAGAAAAACAUAUGGUCUAGAAAAAAUGCUUAAAUGCAAUAAACCGGCUUAUCUUUUAUUUAUGAAAUUCUUGUACUUGCCGCUAUUAUCGGAUACCAAUGAACUAUAUGGAGAUGUUCGAGAAAGGCGAAAUCGAUAUUCAGGUGUUCUUGGCACGGACUGUCGGUCUAAAUGAAACAUUUUCAAAACAAGAUCUUUUUUCUGGAAUGUGUUCCGACCUAAACUCUUCCACAUCAUCGUCAUCACGUUCAUCAAAUUUAAGCCAACUCUCGGAUUCGUUAUUUAUACAACAAAAUCCUUGUAAUGUAUGCUUAAUGAAUCCGAAAUCUGUAAUGCUUCGCCCCUGUAACCAUGUCAACAUAUGUAGUACAUGCUGGGACCAACUUGUCGAUAACCACGAACAAAAUGGAAUUGAAACUAAUCCCAAAUGCCCGACCUGCCAACAGGAAGUCGAAGAGGCUAUAAAAAAUGUAUAUAUAUAUAACUAAAUAAAUUUAAACAAUGUAA